GUUUUUUGUUUAAAAUAUUACAUUUUUAUAUCAUGCAGGGGUGGUCAGUGUAACAUAUGUACAAAAUUAGGGCUGGUUCGUGGGUGGUUCGUGUAAGGACAAAAAAGUGAGGGGUGGUUUGUGUAAUUUUACUAAAACUCAGGGGGUGUGAAUGUAAUUUACUAUACUAUUGACUAUUCAUUAACAAAUAAACGAUAUUUAAUUUUUGUCCUUACUUUUAUGAAAAUAUAUAUAUAUUUUGACAUUUAUGAGUUUUAUACUCUUCAAAAACAUGCAAAAACAUUAAUUAUAAUUUAAUAAUUUUAGACCCGCAUAUAGAAAUUCAUUAACCCACCACUAGACCGUUACUUCCGACACAAUACGAGCCCAGAUACAUGUGGCAAGGCUGGCAAUGGACGUGGACAUGUUUCUACUCACAACCUUUGUAUAACAUUAGAUUAUUAUUUCUCGUGUUACACGAUCAACUCCUUCACUUUUUAAUAUCUUCACAAAACUAUUCUCAAAAGGCUUGACUCCAUUAGGUAAUAUACAUAUAUAUAUAUAUAUAUAUGUAUGUAGAUCUUAUUAUUAACCGAUAAUUUCAAUAUCGGUUUGUUCAGAAUAAAUUUUUUUUUUAUCAGCUUGUUUAGAAUAAUUAAUCUCAUAUUUAUUUAAAGUUUAAAAUAAUUAGAAAAUUAUGAAAGUAUCAUUUAUAAAUAAAUAAGGCAGACAAUAUUAUUAGGUUAGGGAUCACUAUAGUUUUGCCAAUUUAUUUUUACCAUUCUUGAAACCAAUGAAACCACGCUUUUAUUUUUACCAAAUGAAUAUAAGAAAGUCAGGUUUUCAUUAUGGCCUACUAGGCUACUAGCUUUCUGAUAGAACCCACAUUUGUCUUAGUGAAAUAAAAUUAUUAUUAUACAUUAAUACUAAUAUAAAUCUACAUAAAUAUAAAAUACAAUUUUAAAAGUUUUACCUAUAAAAUUUAUUAUUAGUGAUAAUAAUAAAUUAUCAUAAGAAUAGGAUGUAAAUUAAUAAUGUAAAUUCCUUACUAAGAGUAAAUAAAACAUGAUAAAAUUGUAAUUUUAUUUAUAAUAGUAAUUAUAUAUAGAGAGAAAAAAAGUUUAUUUUGGUUGAAAAUUUUAACUUAAAUUCGUUGAUUUAUAAUUAUAUAUUACUCAUAAAUUUUUUUUUCCAACUGUAACGAAACCAACACUUAUAAUUUAAUAUGGAAAAAAAUACUGCAAAAUUUUGUUUCAAGGUAAGCAGUUUCUCGCUCUAAAUAUUUUCUUAAUUAUGAUGAUCUACGAAUAAUAGAAAAUAAUUGUUUUUUCUAAAACUUCAAUGGGGGUAGUUAUGUACAAAGCUAGGUAACAAACAACAGAUAUUUAUUUGGACUUCUUUAAUCUUAAUAUAUUAAGGUUUUGCCAUUAAGGGAAUAU